CAGUCGCCGCGGUAAUACGUAGGGUGCGAGCGUUAAUCGGAAUUACUGGGCGUAAAGCGUGCGCAGGCAGUUAUAUAAGACAGAUGUGAAAUCCCCGGGCUCAACCUGGGACCUGCAUUUGUGACUGUAUAGCUAGAGUACGGUAGAGGGGGAUGGAAUUCCGCGUGUAGCAGUGAAAUGCGUAGAUAUGCGGAGGAACACCGAUGGCGAAGGCAAUCCCCUGGACCUGUACCGACGCUCGUGCACGAAAGCGUGGGGAGCAAACAGGAUUAGAGACCCCGUAGUCCCUGUCUCUUAUACA
rnacentral:rRNA from 1 species